rnacentral:rRNA from 1 species
UUGGAGGGCAAGUCUGGUGCCAGCAGCCGCGGUAAUUCCAGCUCCAAUAGCGUAUAUUAAAGUUGUUGCAGUUAAAAAGCUCGUAGUUGAAUUUCGGGGUUCAUCCGUUGGUCGGGCUUUUUGGUCUGUACUGGCGUGAUGGAUUCCUACCUUCUGAAUAACCAGCAUGUCAUUAAUUUGGUGCGCUGGGGAAGCAGGACUGUUACCUUGAAAAAAUUAGAGUGCUUAAAGCAGGCUAUCGCCUGAAUACAUUAGCAUGGAAUAAUGAAAUAAGACGGCAUGGUUCUAUUUUGUUGGUUUCUAGGAUCACCGUAAUGAUUAAUAGGGAUAGUUGGGGGCAUUAGUAUCCAAUUGUCAGAGGUGAAAUUCUUGGAUUUAUUGAAGACUAACUUCUGCGAAAGCAUUUGCCAAGGAUGUUUUCAUUAAUCAAGAACGAAAGUUAGGGGAUCGAAGACGAUCAGAUACCGUCGUAGUCUUAACCAUAAACUAUGCCGACUAGGGAUCGGACGAUGUUAAUUUUUUAAUGACUCGUUCGGCGCCUUACGGGAAAC